UGCACUCUGUUCUGUAAAUUGCUUUGGAUAAAAGCAUCUGCUAAGGGGCAUAUA
rfam:Salmo salar isolate Sally breed double haploid chromosome ssa13, whole genome shotgun sequence.